GAAGAAAGAAAGAAACCAACCAUUCUGGGGUUGUAGCUCAAUGGUAGAGCGCUUGCCUAGCAUAUGUGAGGCACUGGGUUCGAUCCUCAGCACCACAUUAAAAUAAAUGAAUAAAAUAAAGGUAUUAUGUCCAUCUACAACUAAAAAUAUUUUUAAAAAGAGAAACCAUUAAAUAGAAGCAGAAACUAUUAGAUAUCAAUUUUCAGUUAUAAUGAACUGAGACUAUAUUCUCAGUUUGUAGUUAUUAGGAGCUAAACUAGUUUGAUAUAUUGUAUGAAAAAUUUCUUCAUGACUUCCCUUCUGAACAAACACAAAGUUGCAAUUGGUUACAUGGCUUGAAUUGUGAAUUUGUUAUUCGAAGUGCUUAAUUAGCUUGCUGAGUUUGAGAUUCUUAAAAAGAGGCCCUUGGGUCUGAUGGGAAUUUGUAUUUCACUUUUAUUUGUUGCUGGAAUAAAGAUAACUGCAAUUUAUUUAGCCUUUACUAUGUACUAAGAACUUUGAGAUGGAUGUUAUUUAUUAUUUUAUAGAUAAUCUGAUCCUUAGAGACAUUAGUACAUAUAGUCUACUAACUGGUUAUUCUAGAUUUUUGUAUCCCAGUUUCUCUGAUUUUAAAACUUGAACUCUUUUUUUAAAUUUUUUUUUAAAUUGUAGAUGGACACAAUACCUUUAUUUUGUUUUUUUAGGUUGUUUUUUUCUUUAAUAUUUAUUUUUCAGUUUUUGGCAGACACAACAACUUUAUUUUAUUUUUAUGUGGUGCUGAGGAUCGAACCCAGCGCCCCGCGCAUGCCAGGCGAAUGCGUUACCGCUUGAGCCACAUCCCAGCCCCCCUUUUUUUUUUUUUUAAUGUGAUGCUGAGGAUUGAACCCAGUGUCUCAUGCAUGCUAGGCAAGUGCUCUACCACUGAGCCGCAACCCAGCCCAAAAACUUGAACUCUUUACCACCAUAAUAUGUUAUCAUAGUAUAUUUAACUUGCUUUGGGUAGUAAUUUUUUAGGAGAAAAGCAUUUAAAACAUUU
rnacentral:lncRNA from 1 species